CACUUUAAAACGCUCCCUGGACAUGUUCAAGUUACAGACUGAACAUGUGAGUCUGUCUCACUUACAACUGUCUCACAGCCUGAGGGAGGAGGCCAAGAAGCUGGAGGAGUUCAGGGAGAAACAGAAAGACGCCAGGAAAAAGGUGGAGCAGCAGAUGGACGCUCUGCACAAACAGAAGGCUUCGCAGUACAAGAAGACCAUGGAUGUGA